AAAUAAGAAGCAAUUUGCAUUUAAUUUCGACUUAAAAGAAAGAGUAUAUACUCCUUAUUUA
rnacentral:tRNA from 6 species